GAUCAUAAGCUCAGUUGGUUAGAGCACGUUGCUGUUAAAACAAAGGUUGCAGGUUCGAUCUCCGUAUGGGACA